rnacentral:ncRNA from 12 species
GCCGUCUGGGUCUGUGGUUGAAAGGCCAUGCCAGAUACGGGCAAAAGGUCCCACGUAAACCGCGCCGGAGAUGCGCGGCGAUCAUGGCGUAUCUUAGAAGUAAGUCCUCCGGUAAUCCGGGUCAAGGCAGGUGUGGGGGCAAAGACCAGGUCAGCCAAACGGC